ensembl:lncRNA
GCCAGUUUCUGGACCCAGUCUGGAAAAAGAAAUGCUCAAGUCAAGUCUAGAAGCUCAUAACACAAAAGCUGCGGGGCUGGGAUCCAGGACCUGAGAGGGACUUGCCCACCACCUCCAGAGGCAGCAAAACAGCAGUGAGCUCAAAGGGCUCAACAGUUCUUCCACAAGUCAAAUCAACAAAGAUCCUUUCCACUGAUGCCUGAGGAUAAUUCCAAGUUUUCUGAGAUACAGAAGGUGAGAACCAGCAGGGACCUGAAGAGCCAAAUUCCAGAUGAGGAGAUGGGCUUGGAGGAGCUUGGAGACAGAACCCUUGACUUCUUCUAUGGGAGAGUGAGAUGCUGUGAACUGUUCAACCCAGAUACCAUUAAAAAUGUAGAAGUGAUAUCAGAGGGAUCAUAAUCAGUUGGAGAGACAUUGGCAGGAUGAAACAAAUAUCAGUGAUGCUAAGAGUUAGGAGCCAAUCAGAUAGAAGUCUAAAAUAUUAUAUGGCAGCCAAUCAGGAAGUUCAAUGUGAUUUGGGACUAUGUAAGCAAUGGGAUUAUAUAACAAGCAGGGGCACAUAGGAUGCCCUAACCUGGAAUAUUGGACCUCAGGACUGAAAAGAAGUAAGCAACUGGAGGGAAUCCAGAGGAGAUCAUCUACAAUGAUGGUUUUAAAGCAAAAUAUGAACUUUAUAGUGUAGCCAAACCACAAAGUCAGACCCAAGGGGCAUGAUUAAAUCUACAAAUAGCUCAAGGGUCUAAACACCAAGGGGAAAGAGGAAUUUUGGCUGGAGAUAAGAAAAAUUUCAAGGGAUAAAGUUAAGAAAAGGGAAAUUUAGGUUUAACAGAAUAUAUCCUUUGGUAGUUAGACGUAUGUGUUUAGAGAACGGUAUUUCAAGGGAAUGGAAAGAAAACUGAUGAGUUUUCUAGGAUCUUUGAUAAGAGUCUACCUUGAUGUCAGACCAAGAACUCUAGAACUUUCAUUAGAAUAUACUUGUGCCAUGACCAGAUGGACUAAAUAUAUUUUUUAUCCUAAAUUUCUAUGAUAAUUAUAAUGGGGAAUGAAUAGUGAACAGACUGUUCUGUCCUUUAUUAAAAUGUAUCUAAGGCUUUGAUUAA